GCGCUCUCCUUGGCAGCAUGUAUAUUUAACAUUGGAAGGAUACAGAGGUUACUAUAGCUCUUGCCCAAGGAUGACAUACUAAUUAAGGAAACAUAUUUAAAAAUA
rnacentral:snRNA from 14 species